UCAAGACUGAAAGACCGUUGGAGACCAUCGAGUUAUAUCAAGCCUACUCUCACUCCGGGCGAGGGUACCCCUAUUCAAAGUGAUUGAGGGGCUUGCUGCAGCAUCUCCUCAGAAGAUAGAAACUACUGCACAAUGUUGAGCAGGAAAACAGAAGAACCAACAGAUUUCAGAGAAUUAUGAGGACUGCAUCCCAAUCUUUGGUUACUACUUCUCUUGAAGCAUUGUCCCCUUAAAUCACUCUCCAGCUUUACCCUUUCUCUGAUAUCAAAGCAAUAACCUCGAUUAUGCUUACCCCUCCUAGAAAUCAUCCAGUACAAUUUUUUGUUUUAUGGUUCCUGUCAUGUCCUCUUACUUCCCUCCCCCAUUACAGAAAUUAACAGUAAUUGUUGGGUAAUUAAGUCGUCUACGGGGUAUAAAAUACACAGAAGAGGAUUUGGUUUUGCUUGUCUGGCUUCCUGAAACUUGUGAGUUGAUACUGGCGUAUGAAGCACAGUGAAAAUUCCAUGGACUGCUUGUGAGUAAUAGCAAGAACACCUCAUCAAAUACUGGUCCUGUUUUGUAGUGGCAGUACAUUGACCAGCCCCCCCAGGUGGUUUUCUAAUAAACACUUUCCCCGGAGAGCACAGUCAACAUCUGCCCACUUAGUUUGCAAUUCUCCGUGUAGACUGCUCUCAGACUUCCUCAGGCGGCAUCCCCUAGCCCAUCCUUUCUACGGGGGUACUAUAAUGUGGGUGCUCACCAAGUUUCAGACCAGGCUACUUUUUGAUGACAAUGAAGCCAUUUAUAGGGGCUUCCAAAAGUCCCAUGGUCGUGCUCCACUCCCAGACCUUUCAUCACUGAGAUGUUUUUCCUUUGAGAAAAAUCAUGUUUAAAAGGAUCCAUCACAAUACCAACCAGUAUAUACUGAAAUACUUAUUAAGUGUUGGGCACGACAUGAAAAUGUUUUACAGAAGGAAGUUCUUAACCCAAUUUUUCAGCCAAGGCAAAUGAAACAGGUUAAAUAAUUUUCACUAAGUUAAAUAGCUAGUAAGUGGCAGAGCUGAGCCUUAGAUUUCGAUUUGUCUUAAUACAAAAGCUGUCCCCUUAACCACUAUAGUUCCCCACCUCCCAGUUAUGUCAAGAUACCAGUGAUGGUCUGGGUAAAAAAUAAAAAUAAUACUCCAAUAUCUUUACUUCAAAUGUAGAAGGCUUGGGAUUGUUCUGCUUAUGCACAUGCAAAGACCCAAAGGGAAAUGGUGUGAUUCUCUGUUUUCAAAAAAAAAAAAAAAAAAAAAUGCAACAGGAAGGAAAAUAAGUUAGAAUCAUGCAGCUAAAUCAGCAACCCCUAAAGCAAGCGAAGCCGGGUUUGAAGAUUAGUACAGCCUUAGAGUUUUGGUGUAUUCACUGAACAAAAAGUCUCUUAAAAUUUGUCUUUGGUUUGCUCAUCCCCAACUCCCAUCCCCCUUCCAUCACCAUUAAAAUAUUUUUUCCAUUUGAAAUAUUAGAUUAGGUAACUGGCAUGUCUGAGUAAUCCCAAAUGCCUAAUAAAUGAUUACACAAGAAUUUAUUUGGAAUUACCUCAGAGUCCUCUCUCUGAACUUCAAGUAAUCUCUGCCAAUGUGUCUUCUUUCCUUAAGCAUUUUCCAUUUAUUUCAUAUUUUUAUCACCCCAAUGGUGACUUUUAAUUUAUGAAUAUCAUAUGUGGAGAAGAAUUUGGAUUUGUUUUUUGUGGGUUUUUUUGCCUAUAUUAAAAAAAAUCUGCAUUUGCUUAAAAACAACUUUUACUAGUGACAACUCUGGAGCAAAAGUAUGUUAUCUAUCCCAACAAGUUCUGACAGGUCAAGAUUUCUGUUAAACUUUCUAUGAGUCUCUGAAAAGAGUCACCAAAAAUUCUGGGCAGCGUUUAGAGAAAAAUAAAUUGGGCCGUCAGUGAGUAUUACCUUACUGCCCGGGAAUGGGGUACUUUCAGCUUUCUGCUGGUCCACUGUAGUCCCUGCAACUUCCAACUGGUAACAUGUUGGUAAAGCAUAAGCUGCAGAAAAUUAAGGUAUAACUUCUAGAAAGACAUUCACAAAUAUGUAGAAAUAAAUGUAUUUGCCCUCUGACUCUUC